rnacentral:lncRNA from 1 species
UGAAUGGUAAACUUAAGGUAGAAAGUGGUCAGAUUUAUAAAAACCCAGUCACCUGGCUCAAGGAUCUUCUGGGAGGCAACAGUUAUGUGACCUGGAAUUAUGCUUGGAGUAAGGUAACGUAUCUUGGGAAGGAGCUUUUAAAGUAUGUUUCUGAGGAUGUACCCAUACGUCCAGAACCAAACUCAGUACCUCAGCAAUAUCAACCUUGUCUUCCAGAAGUUGCUUGUUUAGAUGACCCAGUACAGGAACCAAACAAAUCAAUGUUUGAGAAAACAAAAUUUGGACAAGGAACUUCCAGAGAGUCAAUGCAAAGCAUCCCACGUUAUCUACAAAUAAAUGAAAUACUAUUAAUCAGUGAUCAAGAAUUUCUCCCAUGCCACAUAAUGGAUCAGCAUUGGAAGUUUUGUGUGGAAUGUGAGGAACUGACACCCUAAAACCUUGGUUUCUUAAUAUUUUAUUGGAUAUUUGUUCAAAUUAUCAACAAACAUUUAUAUUUCAUCUUGUAUAAUCUGGUGGGCCUAUUUUAACAUACACUUUAUGAGUUGCUAUUUAGGAUGUAUGUUUACUGUUCUUAAGAUGUAUGUAACUGUUCAACAAUUAUAUAAGAUUAAUGCUUUUUUGCCAUUGAAGUAAAG